UACAGAGGGUGCGAGCGUUAAUCGGAUUUACUGGGCGUAAAGGGCGCGUAGGCGGUUAUGUAAGUGAGAUGUGAAAUCCCUGGGCUUAACCUAGGAACUGCAUCUCAUACUGCGUAGCUAGAGUAUUGUAGAGGGUAGUGGAAUUUCCGGUGUAGCGGUGAAAUGCGUAGAGAUCGGAAGGAACACCAGUGGCGAAGGCGGCUACCUGGACAAAUACUGACGCUGAUGCGCGAAAGCGUGGGGAUCAAACAGG
rnacentral:rRNA from 1 species